rnacentral:rRNA from 1 species
UUGACCUCGGAUCAGGUAGGGAACCGCUGAC